rnacentral:rRNA from 1 species
AACGAACGCUGGCGGCAGGCUUAACACAUGCAAGUCGAACGCCCCGCAAGGGGAGUGGCAGACGGGUGAGUAACGCGUGGGAAUCUACCCAACUCUACGGAAUAACUCAGGGAAACUUGUGCUAAUACCGUAUACGCCCUUCGGGGGAAAGAUUUAUCGGAGUUGGAUGAGCCCGCGUUGGAUUAGCUAGUUGGUGGGGUAAAGGCCUACCAAGGCGACGAUCCAUAGCUGGUCUGAGAGGAUGAUCAGCCACAUUGGGACUGAGACACGGCCCAAACUCCUACGGGAGGCAGCAGUGGGGAAUAUUGGACAAUGGGCGCAAGCCUGAUCCAGCCAUGCCGCGUGAGUGAUGAAGGCCCUAGGGUUGUAAAGCUCUUUCACCGGUGAAGAUAAUGACGGUAACCGGAGAAGAAGCCCCGGCUAACUUCGUGCCAGCCGCCGCCGUAACAC